UCCCCUCCCCUGCCUCGCGUCUCUCUCGCUGUCUUGCACGAUCUGUGCCCCAUCAUGCACCGCCGAAAUUUCAGUUGCGGGAAGGGAGGAGAGUAUACUAUUUCGACGGCGGCGCCAGCGCGCAUCUGGUUAUCCCUGUCGCUGACCCCUUACUUAUGCUCUCGCAGAUAGGAUGGGGUGAGGCACAUGCGACCAGGGCUCUCUCCUCCUUGACGAGACCUCCUCCCCGAUCUCUCCUUCUCUCUACCGGCCGGAGAACAUGUGGUGCACCGCCGCCGUCGUGGUGCUUAAGCCGGGGAGUUCCACGUCUUCCCACGCCUUCGUGGCCCAGAUUCCUUGUGUCGCCACGAUGACCACCACCUCCGGGUCUUCAUGCCACAGACAAGCUGGGCGGUGCCCCUCGUAGCCCCCCUUGGACUGUUGGAUCCAUCACCUCGAAUCCGCUACACCACCACAUCACUAUUGGAUUUGAGGAGGAUGGCUUCUUGACGCUCUAAUAGGAAGUUAUGCCCUUUCAAGAUGAAAAGGAUACUCGGAAGGCUCGUGCAUUUUGAUCUAGAGAACAAUGCCAUACAAGAUGAAAAGCAAAAUCAAGGACCCUUCCACGAGUGCCAUAGAUCAGGUAAGGAAGCAAAAUUAAAAGUCGAUGCCAAGAGGUUCAAGAUGGAUCAUGGUGAGAAUAACGUGGCCUCUAUGAAGCCAAAGGUGGAUAGAGGACGGGGAUCAUGAAAAUGUAGCGAACCUUUUGCAUAGGGAACUGGUAAUAUUCUAAGCAUAUGGUCAAUCAUGAUCUAGACCAAGAUACUACUUUUUAGUAUCUUGACUUUUACCUUCGAUUUGUGACCGGAUUUGAGAGGCUUCGAUAGUUGCCGCCGGUAUGAUAGAAGAUUCACACAGAGGGCGAGCAAAUGAGGGCGACACCGUGUCUCUGCUUUGCCCAAGCCAGGAGGUCGAGCGCACGCUUUCCUCGGUUUCAAAUCAAGGGACAAAGAUAGAUCCUUGGUAACGGCAAAGGGGGUAGCCUUGCUUUUGUGCCGGUGUUUCUAUUUCAGUGCGCCUCUGUUAGGUAACUUCAAUAAGCUUGUUAGCUUCUGUU